CCUACGGGAGGCAGCAGUGGGGAAUAUUGGACAAUGGGCGAAAGCCUGAUCCAGCCAUGCCGCGUGUGUGAAGAAGGCCUUCGGGUUGUAAAGCACUUUCGGUGGGGAAGAAAGCCUUGGGGCUAAUACCCUCGAGGAAGGACAUCACCCACAGAAGAAGCACCGGCUAACUCCGUGCCAGCAGCCGCGGUAAUACGGAGGGUGCGAGCGUUAAUCGGAAUUACUGGGCGUAAAGCGCGCGUAGGCGGUCUGAUAAGCCGGUUGUGAAAGCCCCGGGCUCAACCUGGGAACGGCAUCCGGAACUGUCAGGCUAGAGUGCAGGAGAGGAAGGUAGAAUUCCCGGUGUAGCGGUGAAAUGCGUAGAGAUCGGGAGGAAUACCAGUGGCGAAGGCGGCCUUCUGGACUGACACUGACGCUGAGGUGCGAAAGCGUGGGUAGCAAACAGGAUUAGAUACCCUUGUAGUC
rnacentral:rRNA from 1 species